rnacentral:rRNA from 1 species
GACCAAGGAGUUUAUCGUGUACGCAAGUCAUUGGGUGAAUAAAACCCAAAGGCGAAAUGAAAGUAAAGAGUUGAGUUUAUAAUUGAGAAUUUAUUUUCUUUUAUUUCUCUCUUUAGGGAAGAUGAAAAUUUAAUUUAUAAUCUAUUUUAGAUUAUUUAUUUAAAUUUUUCGCAUUCCCAGGGCGCUUGUUUCACGCUUUGCGUGUCGAUGCGCACCCAGAGCGUACACGCUGAUACCCGAAAGAUGGUGAACUAUGCCUGGCCAGGACGAAGCCAGGGGAAACCCUGGUGGAGGUCCGCAGCGAUUCUGACGUGCAAAUCGAUCGUCGGAGCUGGGUAUAGGGGCGAAAGACCAAUCGAACCAUCUAGUAGCUGGUUCCCUCUGAAGUUUCCCUCAGGAUAGCUUGCGCUCGUCUUAUGAGUCUCAUCCGGUAGAGCGAAUGAUUAGAGGCAUUGGGGUCGAAACGACCUCAACCUAUUCUCAAACUCCAAAUAGAUGAGACCCCCGGCUUUCUUAAAAUUGAAGCCGUGGGAUUAGGAUCAGAGUGCCAAGUGGGCCAAUUUUGGUAAGCAGA